GAUGAAGAACGCAGCGAAAUGCGAUACUUGGUGUGAAUUGCAGAAUCCCGUGAACCAUCGAGUCUUUGAACGCAAGUUGCGCCUCAAGCCAUUAGGUUGAGGGCACGUCUGCCUGGGCGUCACAUAUCGUUGCCUGAUGCCUGUUUCCUCGUGAUGGGUGACUGUGCAGGGCGAAUGAUGGCUUCCCGUGAGCAUUGUUGCCUCAUGGUUGGUUGAAAAUUGAGUCCUUGGUAGGGAGCGCCGUGAUAGAUGGUGGUUGAGUGACGAACGAGACCCAAUCAUGUGAGACCCCUACCGAAUUUGGCCUUCAUGACCCACAUGCGUCUUUGGAACGCUCAUGACGAGACCUCAGGUCAGGCGGGGCUACCCGCUGAGUUUAAGCAUAUCAAUAAGCGGAGGA
rnacentral:misc_RNA from 1 species